rnacentral:rRNA from 1 species
CCUACGGGGGGCUGCAGUGGGGAAUUUUGGACAAUGGGGGCAACCCUGAUCCAGCCAUGCCGCGUGAGUGAAGAAGGCCUUCGGGUUGUAAAGCUCUUUCGGCCGGGAAGAAAUCGCGCCAGCUAAUACCUGGUGUGGAUGACGGUACCGGAAGAAGAAGCACCGGCUAACUACGUGCCAGCAGCCGCGGUAAUACGUAGGGUGCGAGCGUUAAUCGGAAUUACUGGGGGUAAAGCGUGAGCAGGCGGCUGAAAGCCCCGGGCUUAACCUGGGAACUGCGUUUGUGACUGUAGGGCUUGAGUGCGGCAGAGGGGGGUGGAAUUCCACGUGUAGCAGUGAAAUGCGUAGAGAUGUGGAGGAACACCGAUGGCGAAGGCAGCCCCCUGGGUCGACACUGACGCUCAUGCACGAAAGCGUGGGGAGCAAACAGGAUUAGAUACCCUAGUAGUC